rnacentral:rRNA from 1 species
AUUGAACGCUGGCGGCAUGCCUUACACAUGCAAGUCGAACGGUAACAGGUCUUCGGAUGCUGACGAGUGGCGAACGGGUGAGUAAUACAUCGGAACGUGCCCGAUCGUGGGGGAUAACGGAGCGAAAGCUUUGCUAAUACCGCAUACGAUCUACGGCUGAAAGCAGGGGACCGCAAGGCCUUGCGCGGACGGAGCGGCCGAUGGCAGAUUAGGUAGUUGGUGGGAUAAAAGCUUACCAAGCCGACGAUCUGUAGCUGGUCUGAGAGGACGACCAGCCACACUGGGACUGAGACACGGCCCAGACUCCUACGGGAGGCAGCAGUGGGGAAUUUUGGACAAUGGGCGAAAGCCUGAUCCAGCCAUGCCGCGUGCAGGAUGAAGGCCUUCGGGUUGUAAACUGCUUUUGUACGGAACGAAAAGACUCUUUCUAAUAAAGAGGGUCCAUGACGGUACCGUAAGAAUAAGCACCGGCUAACUACGUG